rnacentral:rRNA from 1 species
CGGUAGCAAUACGUCAGCGGCAGACGGGUGAGUAACGCGUGGGAACGUACCUUUUGGUUCGGAACAACCCAGGGAAACUUGGGCUAAUACCGGAUAAGCCCUUACGGGGAAAGAUUUAUCGCCGAAAGAUCGGCCCGCGUCUGAUUAGCUAGUUGGUGAGGUAACGGCUCACCAAGGCGACGAUCAGUAGCUGGUCUGAGAGGAUGAUCAGCCACAUUGGGACUGAGACACGGCCCAA